rnacentral:rRNA from 1 species
UGGGGAAUAUUGCACAAUGGGCGCAAGCCUGAUGCAGCCAUGCCGCGUGUGUGAAGAAGGCCUUCGGGUUGUAAAGCACUUUCAGCGGGGAGGAAGGCGUUAAGGUUAAUAACCUUGGCGAUUGACGUUACCCGCAGAAGAAGCACCGGCUAACUCCGUGCCAGCAGCCGCGGUAAUACGGAGGGUGCAAGCGUUAAUCGGAAUUACUGGGCGUAAAGCGCACGCAGGCGGUCUGUCAAGUCGGAUGUGAAAUCCCCGGGCUCAACCUGGGAAGUGCAUUCGAAACUGGCAGGCUAGAGUCUUGUAGAGGGAGGUAGAAGUCCAGGUGUAGCGGUGAAAUGCGUAGAGAUCUGGGGGAAUACCGGUGGCGAAGGCGGCCCCCUGGACAAAGACUGACGCUCAGGUGCGAAAGCGUGGGGAGCAAACAGG